rnacentral:rRNA from 1 species
CCUACGGGUGGCAGCAGUGAGGAAUAUUGGUCAAUGGGCGCGAGGCUGAACCAGCCAAGUAGCGUGAAGGAUGACUGCCCUACGGGUUGUAAACCUCUUUUAUAAAGGAAUAAAGUGAGGCACGUGUGCCUUUUUGUAUGUACUUUAUGAAUAAGCAUCGGCUAACUCCGUGCCAGCAGCCGCGGUAAUACGGAGGAUCCGAGCGUUAUCCGGAUUUAUUGGGUUUAAAGGGAGCGGAGAUGGGUUGUUCAGUCAGUUGUUAAAGUUUGCGGCUCAACCGUAAAAUUGCAGUUGAUACUGGCAGUCUUGAGUACAGUUGAGGUAGGCGGAAGGCGUGGUGUAGCGGUGAUAUGCUUAGAUAUCACGAAGAACUCCGAUUGCGAAGGCAGCUUACUAAACUGCAACUGACAUUGAUGCACGAAAGUGUGGGUAUCAAACAGGAUUAGAUACCCUGGUAGUC